ACGGCGCGAGAAUGCCGGUUGUGACUCGCAACGCCCGGGAGUUGCCUACAAGGAAACUGAGUCUGUGUGCGGAUGCCUGUUUUCUGGGCAUCGGCUGCUCGAUAAAACUCAGUGGCGCAUGUUUGUCACCCUUUUGCCCUGUUCCGUGGUGCGCAGGCGUUGUCGUGCGCGUGCCUUCGACUAUCUAAAACUUACUGUACCCCCUUCUCCAUUCCCCUUGUCAUCUCUGCCUGUUGUGCCCUUGGUUCAUCCUAAAAGAAUGGCUUCAGUAGGGAAUCUGGUUGCCAUGGUUAUUAUCGUGCUUAUCACCGUGGUGCCAGCCACAGUGAUGGGUAUGUUUUCUGAAUCUGGGGCAUUUGGGGGGAUAUGAGGUGGGAAGGUGACGGAUAAUUUAGUUUUGGACACGUUAAGUUUGAGUGCCUCUGGGAUUUCCAGGUAGAGAUUCCCAGUGGGUGACUGGAGGCUUGGGAGUGAAGGUAGGUCACUCAAGGAUAGAGUUUAGGGGUAAGAUGAGAAGAGGGUUCUCCCCUUGAAAUACACCGUAAUUCUUUGAGCCAAAAAUCUCAACCGUAGGCGUCAUACAAUGCUGGUGGGAUGGUAUAGAGCGUUUCGAGAAAACAAUUUAGCAAUAUGUAUCAGGAACCUUUAAAAUGUCCAUCCCAGGCCAGGUGCGGUCACUCACGCCUGUAAUCCCAGCAUUUGGGAGGCCGAGGCAGGCGGAUCACUUUGUAGCAGGACGAGCCACAGACAAAA
rnacentral:lncRNA from 1 species